GACGUACUGCGCGAACGUUAUUCGGAAUCACUGGGCUUAAAGGGUGCGCAGGCGGCUCUCCAAGCCCGUGGUGAAAGGCUCCGGCCCAACCGGGGACGUGCUUCGGGGACUGGAGAGCUCGGGCGAGCUAGGGGUCUGUGGAACUCCCGGUGGAGCGGUGAAAUGUGUUGAGAUCGGGAGGAACGCCGGUGGCGAAAGCGGCAGACUGGGGCUUGGCCGACGCUCAUGCACGAAAGCCAGGGGAGCGAACGGG
rnacentral:rRNA from 1 species